ACAAGGAAGUUUUGGGCCGAAGCC
rnacentral:siRNA from 1 species